rnacentral:rRNA from 1 species
GGCAGCACGGGUACUUGUACCUGGUGGCGAGCGGCGGACGGGUGAGUAAUGCCUAGGAAUCUGCCUGGUAGUGGGGGAUAACGCUCGGAAACGGACGCUAAUACCGCAUACGUCCUACGGGAGAAAGCAGGGGACCUUCGGGCCUUGCGCUAUCAGAUGAGCCUAGGUCGGAUUAGCUAGUUGGUGAGGUAAUGGCUCACCAAGGCGACGAUCCGUAACUGGUCUGAGAGGAUGAUCAGUCACACUGGAACUGAGACACGGUCCAGACUCCUACGGGAGGCAGCAGUGGGGAAUAUUGGACAAUGGGCGAAAGCCUGAUCCAGCCAUGCCGCGUGUGUGAAGAAGGUCUUCGGAUUGUAAAGCACUUUAAGUUGGGAGGAAGGGCAUUUACCUAAUACGUGAGUGUUUUGACGUUACCGACAGAAUAAGCACCGGCUAACUCUGUGCCAGCAGCCGCGGUAAUACAGAGGGUGCAAGCGUUAAUCGGAAUUACUGGGCGUAAAGCGCGCGUAGGUGGUUUGUUAAGUUGGAUGUGAAAUCCCCGGGCUCAACCUGGGAACUGCAUCCAAAACUGGCAAGCUAGAGUAUGGUAGAGGGCGGUGGAAAUUCCUUGGGAGCGGUGAAAUGCGUAGAU